rnacentral:rRNA from 1 species
UGGGGAAUAUUGGACAAUGGGGGCAACCCUGAUCCAGCAAUGCCGCGUGAAUGAUGAAGGCCUUAGGGUUGUAAAGUUCUUUUAUUGAUGACGAUAAUGACGGUAAUCAAUGAAUAAGCACCGGCUAACUUCGUGCCAGCAGCCGCGGUAAUACGAAGGGUGCUAGCGUUGUUCGGAAUGACUGGGCGUAAAGGGUGCGUAGGCGGCCAGAAACGUCUGAUGUGAAAUCCCUGGGCUUAACCUAGGAACUGCAUUGGAUACGGUCUGGCUAGAGUCCGCGAGAGGAAGAUGGAAUUGUGCGUGUAGAGGUGAAAUUCGUAGAUAUGCACAAGAACACCGGUGGCGAAGGCGAUCUUCUGGAGCGGUACUGACGCUAAGGCACGAAAGUGUGGGGAGCAAACAGG